ACGGAAGGCAGCAGUGGGGAAUAUUGCACAAUGGGCGAAAGCCUGAUGCAGCGACGCCGCGUGAGUGGAGAAGUAUCUCGGUAUGUAAAGCUCUAUCAGCAGGGAAGAAAAUGACGGUACCUGACUAAGAAGCCCCGGCUAACUACGUGCCAGCAGCCGCGGUAAUACGUAGGGGGCAAGCGUUAUCCGGAUUUACUGGGUGUAAAGGGAGCGUAGACGGUUUGGCAAGUCUGAAGUGAAAUGCGGGGGCUCAACUCCUGAACUGCUUUGGAAACUGUCGAACUAGAGUGCAGGAGAGGUAAGUGGAAUUCCUAGUGUAGCGGUGAAAUGCGUAGAUAUUAGGAGGAACACCAGUGGCGAAGGCGGCUUACUGGACUGUAACUGACGUUGAGGCUCGAAAGCGUGGGGAGCAAACAGGAUUAGAUACCCUGGUA
rnacentral:rRNA from 1 species